AUUGAACGCUGGCGGCAUGCCUUACACAUGCAAGUCGAACGGCAGCGCGGGCUUUUGCCUGGGGUCGCGUGUGGCACGCGGGUGUGAAACACAUGAGCGUGCCUACUAGUGGGGGAGAGCGCCCCGAAAGACCGGUUUAUACCGCAUACACGCUGAGCGUGAAAGAGGGGGGGCCAAAGGCCUCGCGCGAUUUGGGGUGCGGAUGUCGGAUUAGCUAGUUGGUGGGGUAAAGGCUUACCAAGGCGACGAUCCGUAGCUGGUCUGAGAGGACGACCAGCCACACUGGGACUGAGACACGGCCCAGACUCCUACGGGAGGCAGCAGUGGGGAAUUUUGGACAAUGGGCGCAAGCCUGAUCCAGCCAUGCCGCGUGCGUGAAGAAGGCCUUCGGGUUGUAAAGCGCUUUUGUUCGGGAAGAAAUCCUCUGGGCUAAUACCCCGGGGGGAUGACGGUACCGGAAGAAUAAGCACCGGCUAACUACGUG
rnacentral:rRNA from 1 species